GGGUUGUGAGGUUAAGCGACUAAGCGUACACGGUGGAUGCCCUGGCAGUCAGAGGCGAUGAAGGGCGUGCUAAUCUGCGAUAAGCGCCGGUAAGGUGAUAUGAACCGUUAUAACCGGCGAUACCCGAAUGGGGAAACCCAGUGUGACUCGUCACACUAUCAUUAACUGAAUCCAUAGGUUAAUGAGGCGAACCGGGGGAACUGAAACAUCUAAGUACCCCGAGGAAAAGAAAUCAACCGAGAUUCCCCCAGUAGCGGCGAGCGAACGGGGAGGAGCCCAGAGCCUGAAUCAGCAUGUGUGUUAGUGGAAGCGUCUGGAAAGGCGCGCGAUACAGGGUGACAGCCCCGUACACAAAAGCGCAUGUGCUGUGAGCUCGAUGAGUAGGGCGGGACACGUGGUAUCCUGUCUGAAUAUGGGGGGACCAUCCUCCAAGGCUAAAUACUCCUGACUGACCGAUAGUGAACCAGUACCGUGAGGGAAAGGCGAAAAGAACCCCGGCGAGGGGAGUGAAAAAGAACCUGAAACCGUGUACGUACAAGCAGUGGGAGCACCCUUUGGGUGUGACUGCGUACCUUUUGUAUAAUGGGUCAGCGACUUAUAUUCUGUAGCAAGGUUAACCGAAUAGGGGAGCCGGAGGGAAACCGAGUCUUAACCGGGCGUUAAGUUGCAGGGUAUAGACCCGAAACCCGGUGAUCUAGCCAUGGGCAGGUUGAAGGUUGGGUAACACUAACUGGAGGACCGAACCGACUAAUGUUGAAAAAUUAGCGGAUGACCUGUGGCUGGGGGUGAAAGGCCAAUCAAACCGGGAGAUAGCUGGUUCUCCCCGAAAGCUAUUUAGGUAGCGCCUCGUGAAUUCAUCUCCGGGGGUAGAGCACUGUUUCGGCUAGGGGGCCAUCCCGGCUUACCAACCCGAUGCAAACUGCGAAUACCGGAGAAUGUUAUCACGGGAGACACACGGCGGGUGCUAACGUCCGUCGUGAAGAGGGAAACAACCCAGACCGCCAGCUAAGGUCCCAAAGUCAUGGUUAAGUGGGAAACGAUGUGGGAAGGCCCAGACAGCCAGGAUGUUGGCUUAGAAGCAGCCAUCAUUUAAAGAAAGCGUAAUAGCUCACUGGUCGAGUCGGCCUGCGCGGAAGAUGUAACGGGGCUAAACCAUGCACCGAAGCUGCGGCAGCGACACUGUGUGUUGUUGGGUA
rnacentral:rRNA from 3 species